GGGGGGAUGGCGCAGUGGUUAAGCGCCUAGGUACGCUCUCCGGCUUGAGGGACCCGAAAGUUUUUCACUGAUGUGGGGCACCGAUAGCAAGAGCCGUAGGUUCGAAUCCUACCCCUCCCA